GCCUACGACCAUAUCACCCUGAAUGCGCCCGAUCUCGUCUGAUCUCGGAAGCUAAGCAUGGUCGAGCCUGGUGAGUACUUGGAUGGGAGACUGCCUGGGAAUACCAGGUGUUGUAGGCU
ensembl:rRNA 5S_rRNA 5S ribosomal RNA